UACGUGGGGCACAAGCGUUAUCCGGAUUUACUGGGCGUAAAGCGUUUCGUAGGCGAUUUGUUAAGUUAUUCUUUAAAGACCAGGGCUCAACCCUGGGAAGGGGGAUAAUACUGGCAGAUUUGAAAUAUUUCGGGGUUACUGGAACUAUUGGUGUAGGGGUGAAAUCCGUUGAUAUCAAUAGGAACUCCAAGGGCGAAGGCAGGUAACUAGGAAUUUUUUGACGCUGAUGAACGACAGCUAGGGGAGCGAAAGGG
rnacentral:rRNA from 1 species